rnacentral:rRNA from 1 species
ACGACUCUCGGCAACGGAUAUCUAGGCUCUCGCAUCGAUGAAGAACGUAGCAAACUGCGAUAGCUGGUGUGAAUUGCAGAAUCCCGCGAACCAUGGAGUCUUUGAACGCAAGUUGCGCCCGAAGCCAUUAGGCCGAGGGCACGUCUGCCUGGGCGUCACG